GCAUAUGAUACAACACUCUCAGGGCCUGACGAAAGACCCAGUGAACAAUUUUUGAAAACCCUGUCCUUUCGAGGUCAUGGUA
rfam:Caenorhabditis elegans chromosome V